CCUACGGGAGGCAGCAGUCGAGAAUCAUUCACAAUGGGGGAAACCCUGAUGGUGCGACGCCGCGUGGGGGCAUGAAGGUCUUCGGAUUGUAAACCCCUGUCAUGUGGGAGCAAAUUAAAAAGAUAGUACCACAAGAGGAAGCGACGGCUAACUCUGUGCCAGCAGCCGCGGUAAUACAGAGGUCUCAAGCGUUGUUCGGAAUCACUGGGCGUAAGGCGUGCGUAGGCUGUUUCGUAAGUCGUGUGUGAAAGGCGCGGGCUCAACCCGCGGACGGCACAUGAUACUGCGAGACUAGAGUAAUGGAGGGGGAACCGGAAUUCUCGGUGUAGCAGGGAAAUGCGUAGAUAGCGAGAGGAACACUCGUGGCGAAGGCGGGUUCCUGGACAUUAACUGACGCUGAGGCACGAAGGCCAGGGGAGCGAAAGGGAUUAGAUACCCGUGUAGUC
rnacentral:rRNA from 1 species